rnacentral:rRNA from 1 species
UACGGAGGAUGCGAGCGUUAUCCGGAUUUAUUGGGUUCAAAGGGUGCGUAGGCGGGAUGCCAAGUCAGCGGUAAAAAUGCGGUGCUCAACGCCGUCGAGCCGUUGAAACUGGCGUUCUUGAGUGGGCGAGAAGUAUGCGGAAUGCGUGGUGUAGCGGUGAAAUGCAUAGAUAUCACGCAGAACUCCGAUUGCGAAGGCAGCAUACCGGCGCCCUACUGACGCUGAGGCACGAAAGCGUGGGUAUCGAACAGG